rnacentral:snoRNA from 7 species
GAUAUUUAAGUCAUUUAACAUAUUUUGUUCUGGACCUAUACAGGCCUCUGCUAUGGGGGUGAUGUUCAGUCCUGGUGUCUGAGUGAUU